rnacentral:lncRNA from 13 species
GGGCGCGGAGUUCCAGGCCGAGCAUCUAGACCGCCAGCGACUGCGGCGCCGAGCCGAUAGGAUAAGGGGGCCUUGGCACUUCUGUACCCAUGACCUGUUACAUCUCUCUUAUUCUGGAGAUGAGAAACCGGAGACCCAGAGAGGUACCAGGACUUGCCUAAGGUCACACAGCAGACAAGUGGCAGAGCUUCAUUCUCCAUACAAAGUGGAUUCCUCCACACAGCCGAAGACAAAGCCAGAGACAGCUUGCCAGAUUCUAGACUGCAAGCUCUCACUACCAGAGAAAAGCAACCCCUUUCCCCAGAGUCAAUUCGAAUAAUUCCAGGCAAGGACUCUGAUUGGCUAGCUGGGGCCAUGAGCCUUUCUGAACUGUUGAGCUUCAUGGUAACAUUGAAAGAGGGGUUUACUUGCAGAAAACACUCUUCAGAAGUUUCCUUUGGAUUUAAGCAC